rnacentral:sRNA from 1 species
UACUAUGUCAACAGGCGGUGUCCCAUC